rnacentral:rRNA from 1 species
CAAUAGGGAAUAUUAGUAAUGGGCGAAAGCCUGAACUAGCAACGCCGCGUGUGCGAAGAAGGCCUUCGGGUUGUAAAGCACUUUUUGAGAGGAUGAGGAAGGACGGUACUCUCAGAAUAAGUCUCGGCUAACUACGUGCCAGCAGCCGCGGUAACACGUAGGAGGCGAACGUUAUCCGGAUUUACUGGGCGUAAAGCGCGUGUAGGUGGUUUGGUAAGUAGGGCGUGAAAGCUCCUGGCUCAACUGGGAGAGGCCGUUCUAAACUGCCGAACUAGAGGAUGGUAGAGGGAGGUGGAAUUCCGGGUGUAGCGGUGGAAUGCGCAGAUAUCCGGAGGAACACCAGUGGCGAAAGCGGCCUCCUGGACCAUUCCUGACACUCAGACGCGAAAGCUAGGGUAGCAAACGG